rnacentral:ncRNA from 1 species
CAUCUUCGGGGCAGGGUGAAAUUCCCGAUCGGCGGUAUUAGAGACUGCAUUCUCUUCAAAAUGGAGGGAUUGCUAAUAGUUUCUUAAGCCCGCGAGCUCUAUUGAGCAGGAUUUGGUGUGAUUCCAAAGCCGACAGUAUAGUCUGGAUGGGAGAAGGUG